ensembl:lncRNA
GUAAGCAAUCAAUGCAGGUUUAAAAUACAGACCAUUGUCAUCAAUAUCUGUCUUAAUGUAAGCAUUUAUUGUGCUUACAUUUACAGCUAUCGCCAGCAGGUGGCGCUUAUUGAAACUCUAUGCUUGCAUAAUCUCUGAACAAAAAGAGGUUUCAAUGAUGAUCAGACAAACAGUAAUUAGGUGCACUGGUGAUGUUAUCCAUUUAAAUGAGUUUAAAGACUAAAAGUAUUUAAAUAUGGUAUUUAAAACUUUAUAAAAGAAUUUCAGGAUUAGAAUGAAAGCUUGUACUCGGGUCAGGACAGGUAUAAGAACUUGAUUUGGCUUUCCUGACAGCAGAAGUAUUCUACUGUACUAAGUAUGUACAAAGACUGGUUACAAGGAUGAUUGACAGGAGGAGAGCCCCGCCCACCACAGACAGCAGUGUAGUGGAGUCCAUAACUGAGGAGACAAUGCGAGAACAUUGAUUUAUGGCAGUAUUUGGCCAAAGCAGAGAGCCUCCUCAUUCUUCUGAAUCUGUGGUUUUAGGUUAGUGUGACUGUGACUAAACCAGGGAAAUGUUUCCAUAUGCUAAUUUUGUAUAAAUGAAGCCGCAUAUGAAAGGUCAGGUAACUCAUUUCAUUUGGUUUUUAUGAAGCUGACUUGUUUUAAUGAAAAAGCAGCAAGUGGGUUUACUAUUUCUUGAUGUUAGCAAUAAGAACUGGUCUCUUUAAAAUCUUUAAGAAACAUGAAAACACAGAUCUUCCAUCCAUGAGCUCAUGAUCAUUUAUUCCUUAUCAUUUAAUACACUGUUCUUAAAACCUGCUGCUCUGAUCUCCACCAUGGACCUUUAGAUCUCUUAACUAUCUUGCAUCUUUGUGGGUUGCUUUCUUGCAGAACUUGGUGUUGAUGACUAAUAUGUCUAACAGUCAUUUGUACAUGUCAAAAAUCCUAUUCUUAACCAGUAUCAUCUUGUUUUCCAGUAAAAAGAUCUUAACAUCUAUAAAACAGGAUACAUUUAACCAAGAAUCCAGAGAAGG